AGAGUUUGAUCAUGGCUCAGGACGAACGCUGGCGGCGUGCUUAACACAUGCAAGUGGAGCGACGAACCAGGGCUUGCCCUGGGGCAAAGCCGCGAACGGGUGAGUAACACGUGGGUAACCUGCCCCGAUAACCGGGACAACCCGAGGAAACUCGGGCUAAUACCGGAUGUGGAACUUUCACAUCAGUGAAUUUUCUAAAGGUAGCUUCGGCUUCCGUAUUGGGAGGGGCCCGCGGCCCAUUAGCUUGUUGGUGAGGUAAUGGCUUACCAAGGCUUCGAUGGGUAGCUGGUCUGAGAGGACGAUCAGCCACACUGGGACUGAGACACGGCCCAGACUCCUACGGGAGGCAGCAGUGGGGAAUCUUGCGCAAUGCGCGAAAGCGUGACGCAGCAACGCCGCGUGCGGGAAGACGGCCUUCGGGUUGUAAACCGCUUUCAGUUGGGACGAAGCCUUUGCGGUUAAUAGCCGUGGAAGGUGACGGUACCUUCAGAAGAAGCCCCGGCUAACUACGUGCCAGCCGCCGCGGUAAUAC
rnacentral:rRNA from 1 species